rnacentral:rRNA from 1 species
AUUGAACGCUGGCGGCAGGCCUAACACAUGCAAGUCGAGCGGAUGAAGGGAGCUUGCUCCUGGAUUCAGCGGCGGACGGGUGAGUAAUGCCUAGGAAUCUGCCUGGUAGUGGGGGAUAACGUCCGGAAACGGGCGCUAAUACCGCAUACGUCCUGAGGGAGAAAGUGGGGGAUCUUCGGACCUCACGCUAUCAGAUGAGCCUAGGUCGGAUUAGCUAGUUGGUGGGGUAAAGGCCUACCAAGGCGACGAUCCGUAACUGGUCUGAGAGGAUGAUCAGUCACACUGGAACUGAGACACGGUCCAGACUCCUACGGGAGGCAGCAGUGGGGAAUAUUAGACAAUGGGCGAAAGCCUGAUCCAGCCAUGCCGCGUGUGUGAAGAAGGUCUUCGGAUUGUAAAGCACUUUAAGUUGGGAGGAAGGGCAGUAAGUUAAUACCUUGCUGUUUUGACGUUACCAACAGAAUAAGCACCAGCUAACUUCGUG